UCUCAAAUGUUCUGAUGAACCAAGGAUUUAAUUUUUUCCUUUUUUCAAAGAUACUGAUCCCUUUGAAAUAAAUGACCAUAAGAGACACUCAGUUACCUUUCUCAAAUUUCGGAUCCCUCCUCCGGGAGUCCGCAUAACUUUUCUGUCUGCUCUGAGCUGUCUGGAUGUUCUUCAUGAUCUUAACAAUCUUGUCUGUACUCUCCUCCAUAAUAU
rnacentral:lncRNA from 1 species